GAUGAACGCUGGCGGCGUGCCUAAUACAUGCAAGUCGAGCGAACAGACGAGGAGCUUGCUCCUCUGACGUUAGCGGCGGACGGGUGAGUAACACGUGGAUAACCUACCUAUAAGACUGGGGUAACUUCGGGAAACCGGAGCUAAUACCGGAUAAUAUAUUGAACCGCAUGGUUCAAUAGUGAAAGACGGUUUUGCUGUCACUUAUAGAUGGAUCCGCGCCGCAUUAGCUAGUUGGUAAGGUAACGGCUUACCAAGGCAACGAUGCGUAGCCGACCUGAGAGGGUGAUCGGCCACACUGGAACUGAGACACGGUCCAGGCUCCUACGGGAGGCAGCAGUAGGGAAUCUUCCGCAAAGGGCGAAAGCCUGACGGAGCAACGCCGCGUGAGUGAUGAAGGUCUUCGGAUCGUAAAACUCUGUUAUUAGGGAAGGACAAAUGUGUAAGUAACUAUGCACGUCUUGACGGUACCUAAUCAGAAAGCCACGGCUAACUACGUG
rnacentral:rRNA from 1 species